rnacentral:lncRNA from 1 species
UUUCAGUGACAACAGUCAGAGUGAAAGUAUGUGAGCUGAAAAACAGACUCCAUUUUGAGAAAAGAAGAGAGAGGAGAGGACGAGGAGACAGGGUGAGUGUUUACUCUGUUUUUGUUUUAAUGUCAAACUCUUUAUCUGUAUCAUCCGUUAAUGAAAAAUGAUUUACUGACUAAUACACUGAAAAACUGUAAAACAAAGAAACUUGACCAGACAAAGAGCUGGAUCAGUUCUUGAUACAGAAAACUGUGUAUGUGCAGUUCUUCCUCCUCUUUGUUUAGACUUGACUUUUUGGUAAAAACAUAAAUAAGAAUCUUUUUAGAGUCUCAUUUCAAAUUUAAUCCAGUCCCCUUAAUCUUAUAUGAGAGUUCAGGGACCUCACAGCUGAUUUUGUUUUGACCAUGAAUGAGAUAAGGAUCAGAGAGAGGCCCUGCAGGGUGGGGAGACAUCAGAAGUACUUGGAUAUUAAACCUGUAUAACUCUUAAAGAGGGGGAUUAAGUCUGUACUUCCUUUCUGAUUCCUCUUUUAUUUCUGAAGUCUCUUCCUGUUUGUAUCUCACCUGUUUGUCUACUUUGUCCUCAGGUUGAAUAACUUGGUUUCAUCUUCCAUGAAUCUUCACAACAUCAGAUGGAGAAGAUGAGUGUUUGUGUUGAGGAAGAGGAGGACAGAGCAAAGUCUGUUAUGUCCGACUGUCUGUCUAUGAAGAGUGACCGGUCUAAAGAUGAUCCUCUAAACUUCAGUAAAGAACCAGGACCCUCAGAGGAGGGCAGAACAGAGUCUGUUAUGUCCGACUGUCUGUCUAUGAAGAGUGACUGGUCUAAAGCUGAUCCUCUAAACUUCGGUAAAGAACCAGGACCCUCAGAUUCACGGUAAGAGAAAUACUUUUCACCCUCCAAACUCUCAAAC